rnacentral:rRNA from 1 species
CUACCUACGGGGGGCAGCAGUGAGGAAUAUUGGUCAAUGGGAGAGAUCCUGAACCAGCCAAGCCGCGUGAGGGAAGACGGCCCUAUGGGUUGUAAACCUCUUUUGUCGGAGAACAAAACCCGGGACGAGUCCCGGACUGCGUGUAUCCGAAGAAAAAGCAUCGGCUAACUCCGUGCCAGCAGUCGCGGUAAUACGGAGGAUGCGAGCGUUAUCCGGAUUUAUUGGGUUUAAAGGGUGCGUAGGCUGAAUGUCAAGUCAGCGGUAAAAAUUCCGGGCUCAACCCGUUCGUGCCGUUGAAACUGGCG